GGUUAGUUAGCAUUAUAGUGUAUAAUGUCUUAGCAUCAUAGUGUACCAGUGAGUUAGUUAGUGGGCAAUUAGCAGGUGAGUUAUACAUGAGGGCAAAUUGCUGAAUCUGGGAGGCAGCUCCACAAUUGUCGGUGCGUACCAGCUUUUCAGUC